CCUCCUCACUGAGCUCAGACAAACUUUCACUUUCGUUUCUUCACAAGUCACUUCCUUGUUCCUCUGACUGAUUCUCUCUGCCUGCCUCUCCUCAGACUGACGAUGGCUGAAGCCCAGCUGUGUGGAUUACAGGACGAGUUCACCUGCUCGGUGUGUCUGGACACCCUGACUGACCCCGUCUCAAUCCCCUGUGGUCACAAUUUCUGUCUGAAGUGCCUCUCAAACUGCUGGGAUCAGAGCCAAGAGUGCAGCUGUCCUCAGUGCAGACACACCUUCACCACAAGGCCUGAACUAAAGAGAAACAAUCUGCUGAAUGAAGUCAUCAAGAAAUUAAAGAAGAUGACUCUCAGUCCUUCUUUUCCUCCUACUCCUCCUCCUCAGAAUUAUGCUGGCCCUGGAGAUGUGGAGUGUGACUUCUGUACUGGUAAGAAGUUCAGAGCGGUGAAGUCCUGUCUCACCUGCCCGGCCUCCUACUGUCAGACUCACCUGCAGCCUCACUAUGAAGGAGAGACCCUGAAGCACCACAAACUGGUUGAUCCUGAUAGAAAUCUGAAGGAGAAACUCUGUGAGAAACAUCAGAAAAGUCUGGAGAUAUUCUGUAAAACUGAUGAUUCCUGUAUCUGCCUGAUUUGUGUGGUGACUGGACAUAAAAAUCAUGAAAUGGUCGAGCUGGAGACGGAAAGAGAAGAAAAGCAGAAACAGCUGGGGGCGACACUGAGUGACAUCAAGAGGGGACUUGAGGAGAGAGAGAAGACACUGAAGGAGACGAGGAGGACGAUGGAGGAGAUGAAGAUGUCUGUGCUAAGAGAGGUGGAAGAAAUUGAGAAGAGCUUCACUGCUCUGAUGCGGUGCAUUGAGGAAGUCCACAGGAAACUGACUGAGAGGAUCAGAGAACAAGAAAAGAGAGAAAUGGAGAAGGCUGAAGGAGUCAUGAAGCAACUAGAGAAGGAGAUCAAGGAGCUGAAGAGGAGAGAAGCUGAGCUGAAGGAGCUUUCAGAGACUAAGGACCAUCUCCACUUCCUACAGACUUUCUCAUCUCGCUGUGUCCUUCCUGCUGAUGGAGACUCACUGAGCUUCACUGUCACCACUGAUUUCUCAUCUGAGGACCUGAGAAAGGAGCUGUCAGGUCUGACGAAGAGUCUGGAGAAGAUAAGCCAGUGGGUCAUCAUGACAAGGACUCCAUCAGCUCAUGAAGCUCCAGUUUUCACCCUCCAGCCUCCUGAACCUCAGAGCAGAGACGACUUUUUAAAAUACUUCUGUCCCCUCACACUGGACAUCAACACGGCAAGCAGAGACCUCCGUCUGUCUGAAGGGAAUAAGAAGGUGACACGUGAGGGGACAAAGACAGAAUAUCCUGAUCAUCCUGACAGAUUUGACUACUGGCAUCAAGUUCUGUGCAGAGAGGCUCUGACUGGGACUCGCUGUUACUGGGAGGUGGAGUGCAGUGGAGACGUCAUGGAGAUUGGAGUCGCAUAUAAAGGACUGAGCAGGAAAGGAGAGGACUGGGAGUGCGGCCUUGGAAACAACGACAAGUCCUGGUGUUUGCUGUGUUCUCAUUCCCGGUACUCUGUGUAUCACAAUAACCAGCAGACUGUAAUCAGUGCCCCCUACAGCCCCAGAAUAGGUGUGUAUCUGGACUGGCCUGCUGGCUCUCUGUCAUUUUAUAGCGUCUCACACACAAUGACCCUCCUGCACAGGUUCAACACCUCCUUCACUGAGCCCCUCUAUCCAGGGUUUAGUGUUAGUCCUGACUGCAGUGUAACAAUCAGCCAUCUGACACCAUGUGACCACUGACCAGUACCCUCCACCGGUCACUUGAUGUCCCCACAAACUCAGGUGUCUUUGUGUUUGCAGUUUGGGGUCAAAAUUAAUUUUACACUAUAGGUGGGGGGUCAGCACCUCUGUGAGUGAAUUUGUGGAUGAGAAUGAGGGGCGAGUGCGGCUGUCAGGGUCUCCAUUAUUAUUGGGUCUGAGUAGCCAAUCAGGUGUGUGUGUCAUAGUGAGGAGCGGUGACACCUCAGACCUACAAAUACCAGUCUGACCAGCAGGGGUCACUGUUGAUUCACAGCCACAUGUCCUUCAGGCUGACACCCCAACUGCUGUGUCCUCUGAGUGUCACUGAAUGUCACCUGUUAAUCAGUCUAUAUAGCGCCUUUCAGUAGUGCUGCUCCAGCAGGACCACAUGCCUGUCUCAGUAUCCAGAGCCUCAUUCCAGUGACUAUUUAGGAGCACAGAGUGACAGAAGUGACAGGAGUGCUGGCCUCUGAACAGACAUUGUCUGCCCCUCUAUUAGUUACUCCGGUGGUCUGUCACCUCUGAAUGAAUUCACUGUGAAUGUCUAAAGACGAGGACUCACCGCUCAGUCACAUGUCAGCCAUACUGAUGGAGUUUGGUGUUUUACUGAGUCACUUGGUGUCACGUUAGACAUUAAACUGCACCUCCUCCUUGUUGUUCCCACUGUCACCCAACCUCAAGGAGACGAGUCAGCUGACUGACUUCACCGUCACUGUCGGUGUUCAAAGUGACAAUCAGAUGUGACACUUAGGGACACUUUUAUCUUUCCACUGACACACACAUUCCGAGGAUUAAUUUACAAUUCCCUCAGGACCCCUCAAGGAGCGGCUUGUCACCUGACAUCAGUGUGUGUGAAGAUGCCAAUGAAGGCCCAGACUGAUGGCCGUCCUGUGAUCACAGAUUGUAUUCCUCGUUGAUCAAAUCCGUAUCUCGAUGUGUGACUGACGUCUGAUUCUUUAAGCACUCGCUCAUCAGACAGGUUGUCACCCGAUGAGCUCUUCACUGCUGACCUAAGCCCUGCUGCCCUCUUCUCUCUCCUGUCACCUCGGCCAUUGCUUCAGUCCCCGCUGUGUGACCUCAUAAAGCCACUGGUCUGUCUGGUCACUCAGGUCCUCGUCACAGCUGCACACUGGCAGUCGUUCAAACUCUACAGGCUGACAGUCAUGUUGUCCUGUCGUCUGAUGUUUGUGUUGGUUGAGGUCGUCUCCUGCUGACCUUGGGGGCUUUUAGAGCUCAGGAUUAAUGAAAUGGAAAUGUCAGUCAGCAGUGUGGGCAGGUGGGCACAUUCAGGGCAAAAUGUCAUUUAAAAGUCGAUGAGCACACUGGACACAUCGCCAGUCACUGAUAAUCGACUCCACGUCAGCUCCUGUGGCCCUCAUCAUGUGCUGUCAACUCAGACGCUGGUCAUGUGACUUGCACCUUAGUGACAUUCCUGUGACUUUCAGGGCUGUGACAUCAGCUGAUUCUUCUGGAGCCAAACUGCUCCCUCUUGUGGCCUCUCUGCAUAUUAAACACACGAGAAGUUAGGAUGUGAAGUGUUUGGUGAGAUCUAAAAAAUAUUCAGAAUAUUGACAUCACCUUGAAGGACAGUUUGGUUUAAUAAUAAUUAAUGUGUAAAAGAAUACUUAUUUUAUAUUAAUCUUUAGUUAAUUAUAAUUAUGUGUUACAUUCAUAGAGAUAAAUGGCCUGUUAAUGCUUCACAGUUUGUAAAAUUUGAAUUGCUUAUUAAUCUAAAAAGAUCAAAACACAAAAAAAAAAAAAAAAAUAU